rnacentral:tRNA from 1 species
GAAUAGGAAGCUAUAUAGCAGUUAAUUUCGACUUAACCAAAUGAAUAUAUAAAUAUUCUCUAUUUA